rnacentral:lncRNA from 1 species
CCCCCUGUACUGCACCGGUGACAGUCGCGACGGGCGUGGUGGCAAUGGCCACGACGGCCGGGGUGACGGCGUCGUGCCACCCGUGGUGACCGCAUCCGCGACGCCCUUAACUCUGCUGACCGCGUCGCUCUUUGAAUGUGGAGACGGUGCCGCCCCCGCUGAUUGGACGAGCACCCGAUCUGCUCUGUUGUACGCAGCCGCUUCUGUCCAAAAGGUUGUCCCUAUCUCUCUUCCCCUCUAGUUUAGAAAGAUGUUUGAUUGUAGGCUUAGAUAGUUGUACUUGUGUAUUUCUAGUAAAAUUCUGAAACUGUUGUUUUGGUUUUAGCAUCCGAAGGAAGUAGUAGGUGGUGCACUAUUUAGUACAUGUGGACGUUGUUCAGUAUCUUCUCCAGCAGGUGGGGUUUUCAGUUUAAACAUCUUGGUUAAAAGGUGUAUGGAAGGUCAUAGGAAUAAAAGAAAUUUCUAGCAAAAUAAGAAAUAGAAGAACUAAUUGAUAUGGAGAUGCACGAACACAUGAAUGAGCCAUUCAACCAUGUAAAUUGUGGUCAGAAUGCAGACACUAAACACAGUGAACAGGAAAUGUUUCAUGUAGUUUAUCUGUUGAAUUUGUUCAUAGCUACUGCAAUUGCAUGAAUGACAAAAACAAUAGCUUCAUUGAUUACUAUAUAUGCUCGUGUUAACAGUGGUCAGAUUACUGCAUUUUACGAUUGCUGUAGUUAUGUAGACAAAAUUGCGUGUGCGUUUUACCAUUGUUGUUUAGUUAUCCAUAUGAAAGCUAGUAGCCGCAAUUGUUGGGCUUUUCCACCUGAGUCUCUGUUUUAUGUUAUGAAUAAAUGGAAGUCCUCUAACAUUCUUCAUUGGUUUUCUACAUUUUUUCAGAAACUAACAAGUGUCGGGUGUUGUUUGCUUGAAGAAAAGUUCCCUGCUCGUGGCAUCAAAGCAACAGAGAAGAAAGGCAUUGCUAAAUCAAGUAGGUAUUAUGAUUUCUUCUUUCCAUGAAAACUAUGUUGAUUAAUGCAUUGUUCACUUGUAUGAUGUGGGGAUGUGGGGUUAUUUUUUGUUGGUGAUGAGUGGUUUUCUAUAUUAGUGUGUAUGAUGCAUUCAUUUUUUGUUGGGAUGCGACUCGUGAUCGUAGCAAUUCAUUUUUAUUUCAGAUUUAAGUACAAAACCAAACCAUGUCUUUGGAUGCUCAACGUAGCUGGAUGUAUAGUGGGUGGAAGGAUAAUGGAAGGCAUUCUGAUGAGUGGAUACGCAAUACAAAUGCUUUUGUGAACCAUGUUUUUGAGGGUGUCCGUAGUGCCAAGUUUGGAUUUUCUUGUCCUUGCUCAAAAUGUUGCAAUGGUAGUAGGAGAACAAAACAAUUGAUGACCACCGCCGCCGGUUCCACCUCCUUUUCGUUCGCUUUCUCCUCCUGGAUCUCCGCAACGAUCUACCAUCCAAGUAUGUAAUCAUCCAUCUCAAGCAAACACACACACACACACAUUAAUACAUUUAAAGCAUGAUAAGGGUUACUUCUAAAACCUGGCUCUUCUUUUGCAGAUUCUAGAAAAUAGCAAAGAAUCGCCAGCUUUGUGUUCUCAAAAAGAAACAAAUCCUAGCUCUAAUAAUGUAUGUAUUUCUCAAACUGAUCUCAAAUGAUACAAAUAGUAAUGGUCUGUUCGUUGUGACCUUCCAGGGUUAAAUAACUUAGUAAGAGGGGUAUAUUGAACAAUGCAUGUUUGCCUUCUUUCCUUUUCAGAAGAGAAUGUUAGAGCUGUUUGUAGUAUAAUUUCUUGAUUGGGAUAAAACACGAAUGCAAUGCACCAUAGGGUGCUUCAAACAUAGUAGUACAUAUUGUUGUUUCUGUGUGCAAAUAAUAGUUUCACAUGGCUAUUGUUGGUAGUAAAUGUUUAUCCUUCCUUCAGUAUAGUCUUUGGUCUCAUUUAUUUGUACCAAAACAACCAGUGAACUGAUUCAGAACGAUGCAGCGUGUGUAGUUGCAUUACUUAUGUGUGUAUGGAUAAGUUGAGAGAUACCUAUUCACAUACUUGUGACAAUAUGCAUGCUUAUGUGAUGUGUGAUGCUAGCCUGUGUGGUGCUGGAUCAUUUGGGAUUAAUGUUGAUUAAUGGGGCUGUGUGAGGAUGUUGGAGGGAUCAUAAUAUAUUUUUUGUCCAAUUGUCCAGUUUAUAGUUGUUAUGCUGCCAAAAUUUAUACCAGAUUUUGCAUGCCUUUGUUCUAAUUACUGGAAAUAGGAAAUUCUGUUUAGACUUUGUCGACUUGAUGUAACUCACUAAUUUUCAUUGGAACACAGAGUUGCCUGUAGUUCCUCUAAUAAGUUCUUAUUGUCAUGUUCCAGCUUUUGAGAUUUUGCGAAUCUUUCUUUUCAGGAACAUGUUACUGCUGCAAGUGUUCCUGCUGUAGACGAUGAAGGGAUGUUUGGGGGAUUUUUUAGUCAGUCUGGAACCGGUGCACUAAGCCUAUCGCUAUUGAGCAGUCAGUUGGUUCCUUGAUGUUCUUGGAUGUACAGUGCGUGGAGUAAUAUUUUGGUGCAUGUAUAGUUAACAUGCUAGUACAUGUUCUGUAAUGUAGGAAACUCUAGUUGACCUACAUCAGUAUGUACGUGCUAAUUGAGAUGCUUAAUCAGUUAGAUGUAGCAAACUCUAGCUAGCA